UGUGAGCCGCUGUGCCCAGGCCAAUCCCAGAGAUUUUGAAGAUGAUUUCUCGAUACGAGUUUCACGAAGACUUGAAAAGAAUGUGUCCUCUGUUGUUGGAUGGAGUGUCCUUGAAAUGUUCAUUAGCCUUCUAGCUCCAUUCAGAAGAGCCUCCGAAGUAGAGACCAGAAAUCCUUCUAGUGGGCUGUGCUUUGAGCAGUACUGCUUGUUGACUGCUUUACUUGGAAGGAGAGAUCGACUGAGCACUGGAUUUGACUCAUCCCUGCAUCCCCCGAGCACCUCGUGGGUGCCGUAAAGGCAGCUGGGUUGAUGAUGACUGAGUGAAGGAGCGCCUGAGUGGAUGAGCCACUGAGUGAAUGAACUGGAGUUCAUCUUCCACGUGGUCCUCAGCAUCCACUCUAGAAGCCAAAGCCAAGGACACAGCAACCCACCGAGUGCCUUGUCCUCACUCUCUCCAACUGGGGAGUGCCCCUGCGGUGUCAUCUCUCUUUACAGAAGAGAUGCCAUGAGCUACUUUCCUUUCCCCACCUCACCUAACUUCUCUGCUGUAGCCUAACAGUCCAGGACCUGGGGAUUCAGGUGAGACACAGAUUAAGUCCCCAUAACUGACAUUUUCUUCUGAGAAGAAAGCAUUCACAUUCAAGGACUUGAGCAGCUCUGAGCCCCAUGGCAGCUGAGAUGCCACAGUGCGUCAAGUACAGGCACAUGGCAUCUGGGAGGCAGAGCUACAUCCUCUGGGUUGGAUGAUUUCUGCCUUUCCCCAGGGGUUCACAGCUUGCAAUCAUUCUGUAACUGAGGAGUCUGGUGGAAAUGGGGGUAGCAAAGAGAUCAGAGCAGGCAAAUGGUCCUCUGGGGCUGGGAACACUCCCUCUUUCUACCUUCCAACUGCAGGCACAUGUACGUGUCUUUUCAGCCUGAGGGAUCUAAAGCCUUGGGACUUCUGGAUCUGCAAGUGGUCCCUGUUUUGGUAGCUAUUGACUGACGAGGGGCUCUUCGGUAAGUUCUGGGGUGGCAGUGGAGGUGAUGAUGGGAGGGUGUUACAGGGCUCCACAGGCUCUUACAGGGCUCGGGAGCUUAUUUAAGGGAACACCUUGAUUGUCCAUGUGUCGUGGGCCAGAGAAGAAAGGCAGCACUGUGGAUCUUCUGGGAGGAAAGGAGAGGCGUCGAUUUCUGACUCCAGUUUUCUAUGAUCAGCACAGACUCUGUCCCACCUCCUCCCUACAGAGCUUCUGGAUCCUGGAGGAUGGAGAAUAGGCUAAAUUGCACAGGCCAGCUCCAGUCCAUUGGCAGGGCUGCCUAGAACAUGGCUGUGAUGAUCCCAAAGCUCAAUAGCAGAGAACCCUGUGGGGUGCUAGGAGUGUCUGCCAGGGUGCCGCAGGGAAAGGGGAGCAUGUGUGUAGAUGUAGAAAGCAUCUCUGCCAUCCCCUCCCCUAAAGAAUAUAUAACAUGGCCAUGCAGAAAAACACUUGUGAAAGGAGCUGCUGCCCUCAGGACAGCGUGUCAUUGAAAUGGGGGCUGAGCAACCCGUCAGAAGAGUGGGGAGGAGGGACCAUCCUCCAGCCCCUUCCCAGCUCUCUUCUGGAGCCAUAAGCCACAACACUGUCUAUGAAAAAGCUGAGGCCUAGAGCAGAAGGAGUGCAAAAUCCCAGCUACUGCAGGCCUACGCCCAGUGGUUCUCAAAGUGUUGUCCUCAGUCUAGCAGCAUCAGUGUCACCUGAAAACUGGUUAGACAUCCAGGUUCUCAGUUGUUAUCCAGCUCUAGCAGAUGGGAAACGCUGGGGGCGGGACCAGCCAUCUGUGUUUAACAAGCCCCACAGGUGACUGCUGUAGCCUUGAGUGAGGACCUCGGCCAAAAAGAAGGCUCCUACCGUGGCUGUUUGCUGAUGGUCUUCGCAGAGCCUGCUGUCUUUGAGCUUCCUGAGAGAGGGACACUACCCUCGCUUAGCCUGGCAGUGUUGCCCAGGAGGAGGCAGUGGAGUUAAGAAGCCUGGGUCUGAGCUCCUCAGCUGUGCAGACAACUCCUACUUGUUCUUCAACGCUCAACUUUAAGUUCAGUCACCACCUGCAGAAGUCUUCUCCAAAACCUCCCCACCUGGCUGACUAAGGGGCUGGCUUUAUGCUCUUGCAGUACUCAUGCUUCCUACUGUCACAGUUCUGACCACACCGUGGGAAAACGUCUCUAACUAGAGACCUGUCUUGCCUCUUGUGCCUGUAGUACGGGAUGGGUGCCCAGUGUGUGUUGAUUGUAUGAAUCAAUCUCUGUGACUCCAGAGUUCCUUUCUUCAGGAGAUUAGACAUCACCCCUGCAAUCAACAAUGCAAGCCACUGCUGUUUCCUCCAUCCUGAGCAUGAGGAACCUAUCCAGUUUCUCUCUCAGAUGCCAGGGCCAUGAGGCAAGUCCAGCCUUGGCCUAGAACCAAAGAUGGAAACAAAAAGGGGCCAGACUGUGUUGCCUUCUUGAGCCUGGUCUGACUCCUGAGUGGAAGUCUGAUUCCAGGUACAUGAGAUAAGCACUAAUACCUCCAGUUUGCAGAUUAAGAGACUGAGGUCCUGAAGAGGUUAAAGAACUUGGCUCAAGUCACAUAGCUGGUGAGCAGCAAGAUACAAGAAUCAACCCAAGUCCAGGGGGCUGUGUGCCGUUUACACUUCACAUCUGUGCUGCCAGGGCUGUAGCUAUAAAAGCUUGAAAACCAUUACUCUGAGAAUCUCUCUGUUGGGAAAAUGAGUCCCUUCAACUCUAGUUGUUGCCACUGGGAUGCUAACAGAAAGCAAAGUCUCAGAGGAAAGAUGUGGCAUUCCUGAGUGUCUUCCAUGUACCAGGACUUCUAUUUGCUAGCCACUUUAUGUUCCUCAUCCCAUCCUUCUGUGAGGGACAUACUUUUCAGAUGAGAAACGUAAGCUCCGCGAAGCUAAGGGGCCGGACUGAGGUCCCACAGCGAGAGUGUGGAGGAGCCAGGAUCCGAACCCCAUCGCCAGCCCUUGCCAGUUCCAUGAUUCCGGUGCCAGCGCUCGCCUGACCUCCAGGGCUGUCAUGGUGGGAAGGGACUGGAGGGCAUCUGCUGGGCAAAGGAAAGAGACAAACAUCAUCCCAGAGCCUGUCUUCCCUGGGCAAUACCCGGGCCACUCCAGACAUGGCGUCUUUAGCCCUUCCUUGGUCACUGGCCCCCAGGUGAAGAGAGCAUUUUUCUCUGACUCAAGUUCUUGCCUCUGGAUUUGCCAAGCUCCUAUGACAGUCUUCGCCCUUCUGAAGCUCUCUCAGGCUCCCCUUCCAGAAAUCCCGCAGGUUCCACCGACCUCUCUGAGAGCACAGGCGAGUGGUUGAACGGUGGGCUUUAGAGACGGCGCGGCACCAGAGUCCUGUACUGGCUGUGUGAUCCUGAACCUCCUCACUGAGAUUCUCAUCUGCAAGAUGGAGA
rnacentral:lncRNA from 1 species